AGGGACUUAGGAUAGUAUUAGACCAAGAGCCUUCAAAGCUCUAAGCAGAAGUGAAAGUCUUCUAGUCCCUG
rnacentral:tRNA from 1 species